rnacentral:tRNA from 1 species
GGACGAUUAGCUCAGCGGGAGAAGCGCUUCCCUGACACGGAAGAGGUCACUGGUUCAAUCCCAGUAUCGCGCA